AUUGAACGCUGGCGGCAGGCCUAACACAUGCAAGUCGAGCGAGAGGCGGACGGGUGAGUAAUGUAUGGGGACUGCCCGAUAGAGGGGGAUAACUACUGGAAACGGUGGCUAAUACCGCAUACUAUCCGAUAACCCAUAUGGGAUUAGCUAGUAGGUGGGGUAAAGGCUCAACAAGGCGACGAUCUCUAGCUGGUCUGAGAGGCUGAACGGCCACACUGGGACUGAGACACGGCCCAGACUCCUACGGAGGCAGCAGUGGGGAAUAUUGCACAAUGGGCGCAAGCCUGAUGCAGCCAUGCCGCGUGUAUGAAGAAGGCCUUAGGGUUGUAAAGUUCUGUCAGCGGGGAGGCGGUACCCGCAGAAGAAGCAACGGCUAACUCCGUGCCAGCAGCCGCGGUAAUUC
rnacentral:rRNA from 1 species